rnacentral:siRNA from 1 species
UACACUGAUGUAUUCAACGAG